UUAGUUUGGGGUUUUUUCUGAUUCCAAGUGUUUGCUACUCUGGAUCCGUUUCAUCCAAAAAUCGAUUGAUUGAGUGGAAAACUAAUAUUUUAUUCUGAAUUAGCUUCUCAUUUUGGUUGUAAUAGAUUAAGUUUUAUUGAAUUCCAAGUCAAAAUUCUAAACCGAACUUUCGGACUUAAUUCCGACUUCACACUAAUCGGACUUUUUAUACAAUAAGUCGGUCUUAAAAUGUCGGGCUUAAUUAAUGAAGUAAAACUAGAUAUCUUAUCAAUAGAUGGCUACACUGUUUAGUGGAUCGUCUGCAGUAAAAAUUCAUAUCAGAUGUGGCCUAGUUGUUAUGUAAUUUUGCAGCUGUGGACUUUCUUUAGAUGACACUUGUAUCGGAAAUAUUUUCCUGUUUCUUGGAACAAGAAACAUAGAAUGUGUGUCUUGAUGCCAACUAAGUGUCACUAAGUGUCAUUGGAAAGAUGUUAAGCAGGAGAAACCUUAAGUUGGAGGAUGAUACAUUUGUUUCCCGUUUGUUCCUAGUUUUGUAAAACAAAUGGGAAAUUGGUAAAAUGAAACAACAUAUUACCUAUUACUUUAAAUAAAUUGUUUUUAAAAGUGGAGAUUGAUUCCAAAUCUUCAGCUUCCCAGGCAGACACCCAUCCACAAAGCCAUGGGUGAUAGAUGAUGUUCACAGUGGGCACGACUGUGUUGUAAAUUGGUGUCACUUUAACAAAGCCAAACAGAUUUAGAUCACGUGUCUACUGUGAAAGAGAUAAUGUGUUUCAACGAAAAUGGCUCUCCCCAGUGUGUCCCAUGUGAUGCAGAACUCUUGAAAUCAAGUUGAAUGUUUUGAACCAUCUUAGGACAAAGCUGAAGUUCUAGUUUGCAGUGGUAUUAGAAAAGUCGUCGUUUUUUUGGUUAGAGUUUCUUCGCCGUCCGAUGCAUCAGUUGGAAGGAUGUUCACUUCCUCGACAUCAUUGCUCCCGCAAAUCGGAAGAGGGUAUCCUUUUCCUUGACUUAAAGGACAGAAAUUUAAGCAUUAGCAAGUCAUCCGCAUCCGAACAGAUCAAAUGCACGAAGUAUUCCGCCUCGUCCGGCAACUUACGAUCCAGCAACGCAUCCAUCAACAGAAUGUAUUAAAGAGGAAAGUAAUGACCUAAUGCCGACUGGACGAUUUCCAUGCAAGAUGAAUGUUAAAAUCCAAGGAUAUCUGGAGAACCAUUAGCUGAAUACAAUAAAUACUAUCAGUUCUCCAGAACAAGAGGCCAACAUAGGUUAAUAAUCAUGACUGAAUCAAAAGAGGUACAUACUUGAACGAGAUUU
rnacentral:lncRNA from 1 species